rnacentral:misc_RNA from 1 species
UCACCGUUUACACGGGCAGUUUCUCUAGAGUCCCCGGCUUUACCCGCUGGCAACAUGGGGCGGGGGUUGCGCUCGUUGCGGGACUUAACCCAACACCUCACGGCACGAGCUGGCGACAGCCAUGCACCACCUGUGAUGGUGUCCCGAAGGAAAACCGUGUUUCCACGGCUGUCACCAACAUGUCAAGCCCAGGUAAGGUUCUUCGCGUUGCGUCGAAUUGAACCACAUGCUCCGCUGCUUGUGCGGGUCCCCGUCAAUUCCUUUGAGUUUCAACCUUGCGGUCGUACUUCCCAGGUGGAUUACUUAAUGCUUUCGCUCAGAGGCGUGCUGUGUAUCGCACACUUCGAGUAAUCAUCGUUUAGGGCGUGGACUAC